rnacentral:rRNA from 1 species
AGCAGCCGCGGUAAUUCCAGCUCCAAUAGCGUAUAUUAAAGUUGUUGCAGUUAAAAAGCUCGUAGUUGAAUUUCGGGAUCAAUACGUCGGUCGUGCUUUCGGGUACGUACUGGCGUCAUUGGUUUCUCCUUUCUGACGAACCAUGAUGUCAUUAAUUUGGUGUUAUGGGGAGUUAGGACUGUUACUUUGAAAAAAUUAGAGUGUUUAAAGCAGGCAUUAGCUUGAAUACAUUAGCAUGGAAUAAUGAAAUAGGACGUUCGAUCCUAUUUUGUUGGUUUCUAGGAUCAACGUAAUGAUUAAUAGGGAUAGUUGGGGGCAUUAGUAUUCGAUUGUCAGAGGUGAAAUUCUUGGAUUUAUUGAAGACUAACUACUGCGAAAGCAUUUGCCAAGGAUGUUUUCAUUAAUCAAGAACGAAAGUUAGGGGAUCGAAGACGAUCAGAUACCGUCGUAGUCUUAACCAUAAACUAUGCCGACUAGGGAUCGGAUGAUGUUAAUUUUUUAAUGACUCA